GACAGAGGAUGCAAGCGUUAUCCGGAAUGAUUGGGCGUAAAGCGUCUGUAGGUGGCUUUUUAAGUCUGCCGUCAAAUCCCAGGGCUUAACCCUGGACAGGCGGUGGAAACUACCAAGCUGGAGUACGGUAGGGGCAGGGGGAAUUUCCGGUGGAGCGGUGAAAUGCGUAGAGAUCGGAAAGAACACCAACGGCGAAAGCAGUCUGCUGGGCCGACACUGACACUGAGAGACGAAAGCGAGGGGAGCGAAUGGG
rnacentral:rRNA from 1 species